rnacentral:lncRNA from 1 species
GGGUGAAGCUUUUUAGGUGAAGCUUUGUGGGUGAAGCUUUGGAGGUGAAGCUUUCGGGUGAAGCUUUUGGGUGAAGCUUUUUUAGGUGAAGCUUUUGUGGUGAAGCUUUUAGGUGAAGCUUUUUGGGUGAAGCUUUUUGGGUGAAGCUUUUUAGGUGAAGCUUUUCGGGUGAAGCUUUUGGGUGAAGCUUUUUAGGUGAAGCUUUGAUGGUGAAGCUUUUUGGGUGAAGCUUUUUAGGUGAAGCUUUUUGGGUGAAGCUUUUUAGGUGAAGCUUUGAUGGUGAAGCUUUUUGGGUGAAGCUUUUUAGGUGAAGCUUUGUGGGUGAAGCUUUGGAGGUGAAGCUUUUCGGGUGAAGCUUUUUGGAUGAAGUUGUUUUUUUUUUUUUUUUUUUUUUUUUUUUUUUUUUUUGGCGCUUGACACGGUCUUC